AAAAAUUAAUUAAUAUAACUAAAAUAGUAUAUAAUUAUUUAUUGAAACUUAAAUAAUUUGGCGGUAUUUUAGUUCAUUUAGAGGAAUCUGUCUAGUAAUUGAUAAUCCACGAAUAAAUAUAUUUAAUUUAAAAUUUUAUAUAUCGUUGUUAAAAAAAUAUUUUUUAUAAAUAAUAAUAUUUUAAAAUUAAAAUAAAAAAAUUAAUUCAGAUCAAGAUGUAGAUAAUAAUUAAAAUAAGGAUGGAUUACAAUAUAAUUAUAUAAAUGAAUAAUAAUUUGAAAUAAUUAUUUGAAAUUGGAUUUAAAUGUAAUUUUAUUUAAUUUAAUAAAAUGAUUAAAAAUUGAAAUAUGUACAUAUUGCCCGUCACUUUCAUUUAAAAAUUGGAAUAAGUCGUAACAAAGUAGGGGUACUGGAAAGUGUUCCUAGAAAGA
rnacentral:rRNA from 1 species